GCUGGGCAUGGGGGGCCAUGCCUGUAAUCCCAGCAGCUCGAGAGGCUGAGGCAGGAGGAUCAUGAGUUCAAAGCCAGCUUGAGCAAAAAUCAAAGCACUUAAGCAACUCAGUGAGACCUUGUCUCUA
rnacentral:sRNA from 1 species